GCCCGACGGCGCCCACGCCGCCCGGGGGAUGCCUCGGCUCGGGCGCCGAGGAAGGGCGUGGCAAGCUGCGAUAAGCCCGGGGUAGGCGCAUGCAGCCGUCGAACCCGGGAUACCCGAAUGGGACUUCCUGCCACGGGGAUAACCCGUGGCGCCCCGGCGAGGGGCGGGAACCCCCCGAACGGAAGCAUCUUAGUAGGGGGAGGAGAAGAAACCAACUGGGAUCCCCUGAGUAGGGGCGACCGAAAGGGGGGUAGCCUAAACCAAUUCCUCGCGGGAUAACCGUGGGGAGAUGAGGGGUUACAGGCUCCACGACUGGGGGUUCGACCCCCAACGGGCCUACCCGCGGUAGCCGAAGUGGGCUGGGAUGCCCCGCCGUAGAGGGUGAAAGCCCCGUAGGUGAAACCGUGGGAGGCCCGUGUCGUGGAGCAGAGUACUACGGCUUGGUUUUGCCGUGGGAAUUUGGGGGGAACCUACCUCCAAGGCUAAAUACGUCCCGAGACCGAUAGCGAACUGAGUACCGUGAGGGAAAGGUGAAAAGAACCCCAGGUCGGGGGGUGAAAAGAGCCUGAAACCGGGCGGUUACACAGGGUGCGGCCCUUAAGGGGCGAAGGCCCCGAAGGAAACCCGGGCGACCGGGGAGUACGAGGGGCUGGAUCCAGGGUCGCACCUUCCGUCUUGAAACACGGGCCGGGGAGUGCACGGUCGUGGCGAGCUUAAGGGGUUCAACCCCGAAGGCGUAGGGAAACCGACUAGCCCGCAGCCGCCUUCCAGGCGGCGAGGGGCGGGGUCCUAACAGGGCCCGGAGUCACGGCCGUGCGACCAGAAACCGGGCGAUCUAGGCGGGGGCAGGGCGAAGCCGGGGGAAACCCCGGUGGAGGCCCGAAAGGGUUCUGACGUGCAAAUCGUUCCCAUGACCUCCGCCUAGGGGUGAAAGGCCAAUCUAGCCCGGUGAUAGCUGGUUCCCGCCGAAGUGGCUCUCAGGCCAGCCCCGCUGGAGGCUGGCUGCGGGGUAGAGCUACUGAUUGGGCGUGCAGGGGGCGGAAGCCCCCGACGCUCAGUCAAACUCCGAACCUGCGGCCGCCGUAGAAGGCGGGAGUGGGGCUCCCCGGGGUAAGCCUGGGGGCCGAGGGGGGAACAACCCAGACCGGGGUUAAGGCCCCAAAGUGCCGGCUAAGUGCCAAGCUUAAAGGGCGUCCCCCGCCUAAGACAGCGGGGAGGUGGGCCUAACAGCAGCCAUCCUCUAAGGAGUGCGUAACAGCUCACCCGCCGAGGCGGGGGGCCCCGAAGAUUGGUCGGGGCUUAAGCCGGCCGCCGAGACCCCGGGCCCCAGCCUCUUUGAGGCUGGGUGCGGUAGGCGGGCGUCGGGGUGGCGCAGAAGCCGGGCCGUGAGGUCCGGUGGAGCCGCUCCGAGCGUGGAUCCCGGCGGUAGUAGCAGCGAAGCGGGGUGAGAAUCCCCGCCGCCAGAAAGGACCAGGGUUCCCCGGCAACGGUCGUCGGCCGGGGGUUAGCCGGUCCUAACCGGGGCCGUAACUCGGACCCCGGGAAAGGGGAACAGGUUAAUAUUCCUGUGCCGCGGGGGUACGUUUCGCGGCAACGCUAAGCCCAGCCUCCGACGCCUCGGGGUAGGCGGACCGGGGGCCCCUGUACGGGGGCGACCCGGCUAACUACCCGAAAGCCCUGGAGUGCCGUAAUGGCGAGAAGGGGCUGGAGGGGGGAAUGGCCCGCGUAUGCGGGUUCCGCCGACCCCUGGGGCCCUUGAAAAGGGGGCUGGGAAGGAUCCCCCGCGCCCGUACCGAGAACCGACACAGGUGCUCCUGGGUGAGAAGCCCAAGGCGUCUGGGGGUUAACCCGGGCCAGGGAACUCGGCAAAUUGGCCCCGUACGUUCGCAAGAAGGGGUGCCUGCGGUUCUGGGGCCACCCCUGGGGCCGCAGGUCGCAGUGACUAGGGGGACCUGACUGUUUAACAAAAACAUAGCUCCCCGCAAGCCCGAAAGGGUGUGUACGGGGGGUGAGCCCUGGCCACUGGCGGUCCGUGAAACCGGGGUACAACCCGGCGAAGCGCCGCUGAAGGCCGGGAGUAACUCUGACUCUCGAGUUUAAGGUAGCCAAAUGCCUUGCCGGGUAAGUUCCGGCGCGCAUGAACGGGUUAACGAGGUCCCCACUGUCCCGGCCCGGGGCCCCGCGAACCCCCUGAGCGGGUGCACAGUCCCGCAACCUCCCGCAGGGAGAGAAGACCCCGUGGAGCUUUACUGCAGCCCGGCGUUGGCUCCUGGGCGGGGGCGCGUAGAGUAGGCGGGAGCCCUUGAGCCGCCCCCUCCGGGGGGCGGGGAGGCGAAAGUGAAACACCGCCCACCUCCGCCUGGGAGCCUAACCCCUCCCCCGAGGAGGGGGACAGCGUCGGGUGGGCAGUUCGGCUGGGGCGGCACGCCCGCGAAAAGGUAACACGGGCGCCCAAAGGUCGGCUCAGGCGGGUCAGAACUCCGCCGUAGAGUGUAAGGGCAAAAGCCGGCCUGACCGGACCCUUGAACGCAAGGGGUCCGGCCGGGAAACCGUGGCCUAGCGCACGCUCGUGUCCCCCUAGGUGGGGGCCGGGCACGACAGAAAAGUUACCCCGGGGAUAACAGCGUCGUCGCGGGCGAGAGCUCCCAUCGACCCCGCGGUUUGCGACAUCGAUGUCGGCUCUUCCCAUCCUGGGGGUGCAGCAGCUCCCAAGGGUGGGGCUGCCCGCCCAUUAAAGGGGAACGUGAGCUGGGUUCAGACCGUCGUGAGACAGGUCGGUCUCUACCCGCGGGAGGUGCCGGCCGCCUGAGGGGAACGUGCCCCUAGUACGAGAGGAACGGGGCGCGGCGGCCUCUAGUGUACCGGUUGUCCUGGCGGCAGCGCCGGGCAGCCACGCCGUAGGGGGUAACCGCUGAAAGCAUCUAAGCGGGAACCCCUCCCCGAAAAGAGGCGGCCACCCACCUUCCAGGGUCUCCCCCUGGAGGGUGGCGAGGGCUCCCGUAGAAGACGGGGUUGAUGGGGCGGGGGUGUAAGCCUCGAGAGGGUUCCCCUCGAGAGGUUCAGCCCGCCGCUCCCAAUCGCCCGAGGCUGUUGGGC
rnacentral:rRNA from 1 species